AAGCUGUUAUUCUUUCUCUGUCCAGAAACUCCAGUGUGUCCUUAAAUCCAUACUAUGUGUUCUAGUUUGGUGAAAGGAGCCGGUUAAAAAUGUUCAAAUUGUUCAAAUGACCACAACAACGGGAUGCGCCGCUGCCAUGACGUGCCGCCUCACAUCCAGGAUGGGGAAACCUGUUCAUUGGUCCCCGGGGCCGCGGCUAACGCCUGUGUGAACUGGAACUCAUACUACCCCAACAUGGGAGUCACCAGUUUCGAUAACAUCGGCCACACCUUGAUCGUCAUAUUACAGAUGGGCUCCCUCAUUAUUAUGAAGCGGUGCAUGGCCGUCUCUGAGAGCAUGGCGUGGCAGAGGAGAGAGAAGCAAGCCAAACCCUGUCGAACAGCUCUGUUUCCAGUUCCUCCGCUGGCUGUGGAUCAUCGCCCGCAACUGCAUCAGACCUCGUAAAACGGGUGAAAGCCCCUCGGCAGCAGGAGUAAGACCAGUCGCGCAAUGGGACGACAUACCUGGGAGCCAUCGAGGAGAAAACUUGGGAGGCUGAUCAUCAGCAAUCUCUUUGACCGAGUGAUCAUGUUAGCCGUCUUCCUCUGUAUUCUCACCAUGGCCAUAGAACAGCACGCAGGGGAGGAACAAAGUGCUGCUGUCUCAUUCACAACGUAAAGGAGGAGUUCACUACUCUUUUUUCUGUUCAUUCUUUUCUUUCUUGCUUAUUUUGUAUUGAUUGUUUAUGUUCUCACUCUUCCCUCCCUGCAUUUCCCCGUUCUCUGGCGACCUGUUACUCCCUCCCUCUCUUGCUCUCUCUCUCUCUUUUCCACCAGCCUAAGCAAGUGGUAGAGAUACUUAAGAUCAGUAACAUCAUCUUCACUCUCGUGUCUGUUGUGGAGCUGACAUUAAAGCUGCCGGUCCUCAAGUGGGCCUACUUCAAGGGACCGAAACAAUCUCUUUGAUUUUGCCGUCAUUAUCAUCAGCUUGUGAGAGAUACUUGCCAAAGCUGAUAGCAGGUUGGCUGCCCCAUGUGCGCUUCAUCUGCUGCGGUUUGAGCGGCUGCUUCACAGCCCUAACCCUGCCUUACUUGAAGAGACAGCUGCUGAGGAGGCAGCCCUGCUCUGCCAGCUGCUGCUGUUUUUCACCAUCAUUUCCAGGCACGCACCAUAUUCUUCCUCCCCAUGUGUCUGUUUCAGGAUAUCUGUCCUGUCACAAUGCUGUUUUAAUGCUAUAAUAAUCACCACAUUUGAGUGAUUGUGUCUCAGUUCUUGGGUGGUAGAUUUGCCUCAGAGACCCAGAGCGGAAGCACCAUCAAAGACCGGAUGAAUUUUGACUCGCUACUGUGGUCCAUGGUCACUGUGUUCCAGAGCCUGACUGAGGAGGACUAGAAUCUGGUGCUGUAUGAUGCUGUGGCUGCCACUUGCCCUUCUACUUUUGCACCAUCAUCGUGGUCGAAAAACACGUUCUGCUCAAUGUUCUCAUGGGCGUAUUAGUCUAGAGUUUUUGAGGAAAGCACAUUCAAACACUUGCAUACACACCUAUCCCAAACUCUUUGUUUUAGCACUCCUCAGAUUCAGAUGACGAAGACUUCAUCCAGCCAGACUUCUGAAAGCGAGUUUUCAUUGAGUGAAAACCACGAGACAAAUUUAAGUUCUGGUUCCUCAAGACCCAAUGAAGGCUGCCCUCUCUCUCUCCAUGUGAAUCCAGCAGCCCCACCAUGACAAGCUCUGCACCUACAGAUACCAACGACCACGACGUGUGUGCCGCAGCCGCGCCGUCAUUGGUGGAAAGGCUCUGCGCCCUGGUCGGUGAUUGGCUGCAGCCCCUGGUCACCUGAUAUAUAAAGUGCCAAGAUUCAUUUGAGUAGUAAGGGUGGGCUGCUAGUUUCGUUUCUCUUGUUUUCUCCUGUUUAUUUAAUUAGGAAGGUGAGUUUGUUGUCAUUUGUUUUCCUUUGGUUAGAUUAGUUGUUUACUUUCCAGACAGGGUUAUUAUGUUUAUUUUGUUGGCCUUAGUCCACCUUGAAGCCUAAACUCAGUAUUUAUUUUCUAUAUGUUCACUUAAAACCUUUAAGCAAAUAAAUCACUUUGGUUAUAUUUAAACCAAUCUUUGUUGUGGCUACUUGGGACUUGGAGAAGAUGGGGCCAGUUUAUGUUGUGUCCUAGCCCCCCCCCCCCCCCCCAGACUGGGGCAUAACACAUGUUUGUUUUGAAAUUAAGCCACACUUCCUUGAAUCCUUCGCUGUCGUUCACGCUGACUGCAUCUCGCGAAGGUGUGACGUCAUUGUUUCGCAGGGCACGCGGAACCAGGUGGAAAGCAUCAAUAAGGGAAUCGUUAAGCAUAAAGGCAAAUAAUGUUGAUGAAUCGCAGGGCUUAAACAGGGUUCCUGCGGGUCCUUAAAAAGUCUUAAAUUAAAAUCCGGGUAAUUAAGGUCUUAAAUUGUUGAUCCGCGAUUAAUAGCCGUUUUACGGUACGUCAGCGACGGACUGACGUCGGCCUGCGUGCAGCCAGUACGCACGGUUGUUGUCAAAGUGCGGUUCGAAAAGCAAAGAUGGGAAAGUGCAAAUUCAAUUACAAAUGGAUGGAGGAGGAUUCAUUUAGGAAGUGGUUGGCCCCCGCUGAAAAUAACAAUAAGGCAACGUGCACAUUUUUUAAAAAGACUUUUUCCUUAGGGACCACAGGUCUUAAAGCAGUUGAGGCGCAUAUGAGAGGAGUUAAGCACCAGCGGUAUGCGGCGGCAGCUAGCCGCAGCUGGGCCACAGCGGGGCCAGGCUAAUCCCUGCGUUGUUCGGAACACGAGCUAAAGAUACAAAUUCAGACGCCACCUCUCAAUCUGCUUUAAAAAGCUUCAUUUUACCACCAGAGACCCAAAAGGCAGAGGUACUGUGGGUUCUCCACACUGUGAUGAGGCAUAAUUCAUUUAAAUCUAAUGAGGAUAUAAGUGGCGUCUUUGCUGCCAUGUUCCCCGAUUCCCAGCGUGCAAAGUCAUUCACCUGUGGUGAAAAUAAAACGGUAUAUCUCGCCAAAUAUGGCAUAGCUUCAUUCAUCAAGAAGAUGAUAACAUUGGUCUUGUUUUUCAAACAGUUAUGUAAAUGAUUUUCAACAUUUUGGCUUUGGAGAGGCUGUUUUGAGGAGUUUGAUUAUUGAAGUUAUUUACAAUGGAGACUGCUUUAAGUGUUAUUUGGGAUAUUCAGUGUUAUUCUGUCCUUAUUUGGAAAAUGAUUGUUGGCUCUGUUCUGUGUCACAAUGGAAAGGAAAAUAGAAUGCAACUGUUUGCUUUGAUUGUGUUUAAAAUUAAAUUUGAGUAUUUUCUACCAAAGAAAUUGUUAUGACAUUUUUUAGUCUUUCUAGUCAGCAUUAAAUUUGAGUCUUAAAAUGGUGCAAGAACCCUGUUAAAGUAUUCCGGCACUGUGCCGGAUCUCCGGCAUAACACUGUGAGAGAGGUCCAUGAUGCCAGGAUGUUGAGGGCCUCUGACUUCUACACGACAUGGCAGGAGAAGAUGGGUGACAACAGCUUGCUGGGAGACAGCGCAUACAUCGGACAGGCAUUCCCUUUUGUCAUCUUGCCCAAAAGAGUCAACAAUAACAGCAAUGCUAACAAGAAUAACGGAAUCACAGUUUGUCUAAGAAUCGACACAUCAGGCCCUCAAACCCUCGCUGGGCUGACUUGAGCUGAGCCAGUAAGUCUUUGUGGCACCUCUGUGCCUCCUCAUGGCGCCUCUGACUGGCUUCCUCCGACUCCCGGAGGAACUGGAGGACGUCCUCAUGUUCCCGCCGACGCUUAUGAGGCCGUGUGUGUGUUGGUGCUGUGUGGGUGCUGGAGCAAGAAGCAGCCUCUGCUGGAGGUGCCGUGACAGCUGGAGGCCCAAGCACCUCUGGUCGCCUUACGUCAAGCCGACUCGGAGCUCAGAAAUCCCAACAUCCGAGUACAGCUGGAACGCACUAUUAGUCUCUGUGCUCCCCUUUGUCUUGGUCAGUUCGUCUUGUUUUCAUGGCUCAUGCUCCUGUGUUUCUGGUGUAUUUGGAUUUUCAGUUUUUGCUUGUGUUUUGCUCCUGCUUUUCUCUCCUGAUUAGUUUCCCCAGUGUUUCAGUUUUGUUCCUGGGUUUUGCCUCCAUUUUGGAUUUUGAGUUCUGUUAUUAAUUUCUUGUUAUUAAAAGACCUUUUUCCACCAACCCCCUUUUUUUGUAGUGUGCAUUUGGGUUAAAUUUUUCCCUCAAGUGUGACAGUUAAUUAUUUUUAUUUUGUUUACAUUGUGGUUCUGUUAGUGAUUAAUUGUACUUAACUUUUAUUCUUUUCUUUUCACACACUUGUUUUUAGUAACAUAUAUACAUAUUUAGUUAUAUACACUGUUUUAAUUAUGCUUAGCAUUUUGUGCAGUAUUAAAAUUCUAAUAGUGCAUUAUUUAUA